rnacentral:lncRNA from 1 species
CGUCUUUCUCCUAGAUGAUCUUUUCAAGGAUGUUUAUAUAGCAAAUUGCCUUGGCAGUUAGAGAAAGUGUCUCUUUCUGGUGCAAAGGGCACAUUUGCUUACAAUCUAGAAAGAUGCAGGAUAUCCUUUCCAGAGCGAUGAACAGAUAUGCUUACUGCCCAGUAUAAGAGGUCUGGUUCCCUAAAAAUGCAAUUUCUUUCCUGCAGUCAACUGUGUGUCCACAUAUCAGUUGACCCUCUUUGUAUCAUCCUGUGGAAAUUGAGGUUUGGAGAACUAGUGUAAAAAGAACCAUUCUCUGGCUACUGCUAUUGCUUUGAGUAAUAAACUUUGCUUUGUUUUUGACUCAAGGGUUUCAUGUCUCUUGUCAGCAUCCAUGAAACUGUGGCCAAUGAACAGACUGACUUGCUAACAGUAAAGAUCUCAAACUCUUCAUAGUUCUUGACAACAUUCGGUGUGAUGUCACGAUAUUACAGGUGGAUCUAAAGGAAAGGACUUUUCAAGAGGCAAUUGGGCAAGCCCAAGUUGAAAUAUAACUCAAGAGGUUGGAUUAGAAUGUUUCCAAAUGGGAAAAAAAGGAAAAAGAUCCCAUUCACUAAUGCUUUAACAACUGAAAGGCCCACCCACAAGCUUCACGUCUUUUCUCUCAAAUCUCUUCCUUCAGGUAUGGAUCAUCCUUUGUGGUUGAUGUUUAGAGAUGUGAUAUGAAACUGAAGACAAACGGUCCAAUAUGUACCUGAAAUCUUUCUAAUGCAAUAUUUAUUAACUUUUUUCAUAACUAAAAUAUUUUGCUAUUUAUUUAAUCUCUCUCUUACAGAAUGUGCUAUAUUCUAUUAACAGGAAUUUUAAG